AAUCAACGCUGGCGGCGUGCCUAACACAUGCAAGUCGAACGCGAGAGGGGCUUCGGCCCCGAUUGAGUGGCGAACGGGUGAGUAACGCGUGGGUGACCUACCUUCGAGUGGGGGAUAACGUCCCGAAAGGGACGCUAAUACCGCAUAACAUCCUGCUUUUGAAUGGGUGGAGAUCAAAGCCGGGGAUCGCAAGACCUGGCGCUUGAUGAGGGGCCCGCGUCUGAUUAGCUAGUGGUGAGGUAACGGCCCACCAAGGCAACGAUCAGUAUCCGGCCUGAGGAGGG
rnacentral:rRNA from 1 species